UGCCAGCCGCCGCGGUAAUACGGAGGGGGCUAGCGUUGCUCGGAAUUACUGGGCGUAAAGAGCACGUAGGCGGGUAUUCCAGUCAGGCGUGAAAGCCCCGGGCUCAACCCGGGAACUGCGCUUGAUACUGAAUACCUAGAGUCCGAGAGAGGGUGGUGGAAUUCCCAGUGUAGAGGUGAAAUUCGUAGAUAUUGGGAAGAACACCAGUGGCGAAGGCGGCUAACUGGCUCGGUACUGACGCUGAGAUGCGAAAGCGUGGGGAGCAAGCAGGAUUAGAUA
rnacentral:rRNA from 1 species